GACGAACGCUGGCGGCGUGCUUAACACAUGCAAGUCGAACGGAAAGGCCCUGCUUUUGUGGGGUGCUCGAGUGGCGAACGGGUGAGUAACACGUGAGUAACCUGCCCUUGACUUUGGGAUAACUUCAGGAAACUGGGGCUAAUACCGGAUAGGAGCUCCUGCUGCACGGUGGGGGUUGGAAAGUUCGGGCGUUAUGGGAUGGACUGGCGGCUUAUCCGCUAGUUGGUGAGGUAGUGGCUUACCAAGGCUUCGACGGGUAGCCGGCCUGAGAGGGUGGCCGGCCACAUUGGGCCUGCGAGACGGCCCAGACUGCUACGUGAGGCAGCAGUGGGAAGUAUUGCGCAGUGGGCGGGAGCCAGAUGCAGCGACGCCGCGUGCGGGAUGCCGGCCUUCGGGUUGUGAACAGCUUUCGCCGGUGACGAAGCGUGAGUGACGGUAAUGGGUAAAGAAGCACCGGCUAACUACGUG
rnacentral:rRNA from 1 species